rnacentral:lncRNA from 1 species
CUUUCUCCCUGACACCAUGUGAAGAAGGUCCUUGGUUCCCGUUCACUUUCCAUCAUGAUUGUAAGUUUCCUGAGGCCUCCCUAACUGUGCAGAACUGCCUUUCUGUUCCCUGAGACACAACAAUAUUGAAAUUAGGCCAGUUAAUAACCUACAAUGGCUCUCCCUCUCCCUCUCCCUCUCCCUCUCCCCACGGUCUCCCUCUCCCUCUCUUUCCACGGUCUCCCUCUGAUGCCGAGCCGAAGCUGGACUGUACUGCCGCCAUCUCCGCUCACUGCAACCUCCCUGCCUGAUUCUCCUGCCUCAGCCUGCCGAGUGCCUGCGAUUGCAGGCGCGCGCCGCCACGCCUGACUGGUUUUCGUAUUUUUUUGGUGGAGACGGGGUUUCGCUGUGUUGGCCGGGCUGGUCUCCAGCUCCUAACCACGAGUGAUCUGCCAGCCUCGGCCUCCCGAGGUGCCGGGAUUGCAGACGGAGUCUCGUUCACUCAGUGCUCAAUGUUGCCCAGGCUGGAGUGCAGUGGCGUGAUCUCGGCUCGCUACAACCUCCACCUCUCAGCCGCCUGCCUUGGCCUCCCAAAGUGCCGAGAUUGCAGCCUCUGCCUGGCCGCCACCCCAUCUGGGAAGUGAAGAGCAUCUCUGCCUGGCCACCCAUCGUCUGGGGUGUGAGGAGCCCCUCUGCCCGGCUGCCCAGUCUGGGAAGUGAGGAGCGCCUCUUCCUGGCCGCCAUCUCGUCUAGGAAGUGAGGAGCGUCUCUGCCCAGCCGCCCAUCGUCUGAGAUGUGGGGAGCGCCUCUGCCCCGCCGCCCCGUCUGGGAUGUGAGGAGCACCUCUGCCCGGCGACGACCCUGUCUGGGAUGUGAGGAGCCCCUCCGCCGGGCAGCCGCCCCGUCUGAGAAGUGAGGAGCCCCUCCGCCCGGCAGCCGCCCCGUCUGAGAAGUGAGGAGCCCCUCCGCCCGGCAGCCGCCCCAUCUGAGAAGUGAGGAGCCCCUCCGCCCGGCAGCCGCCCGUCUGGGAAGUGAGGAGCGUCCCCACCCAGCCAGCCGCCCCGUCCGGGAGGUGGGGGGCGCCUCUGCCCGGCUGCCCCUUCUGGGAAGUGAGGAGCCCCUCUGCCCGGCCGCCACCCCGUCUGGGAGGUGUACCCAACAGCUCAUUGAGAACGGGCCAUGAUGACGAUGGCAGUUUUGUCGAAUAGAAAAGGGGGAAAUGCGGGGAAAAGAUAGAGAAAUCAGAUUGUUGCUGUGGCUGUGUAGAAAGAAGUAGACAUAGGAGACUCCAUUUUGUUCUGUACUAAGAAAAAAUCUUCUGCCUUGGGAUGCUGUUGAUCUAUGACCUUACCCCCAACCCAGUGCUCUCUGAAACAUGUGCUGUGUCCACUCAGGGUUAAAUGGAUUAAGGGCGGUGCAAGAUGUGCUUUGUUAAACAGAUGCUUGAAGGCAGCAUGCUCAUUAAGAGUCAUCACCACUCCCUAAUCUCAACUACCCGGGGACACAAACACUGCGGAAGGCCGCAGGGUCCUCUGCCUAGGAAAACCAGAGACCUUUGUUCACUUGUUUAUCUGCUGACCUUCCCUCCACUAUUGUCCUAUGACCCUGCCAAAUCCCUCUCUGCGAGAAACACCCAAGAAUGAUCAAUAAAAAAAUAAAUAAAAUAAAAUAAAAUAAAAUAAAAUAAUAAAAAAGAAAAUAUGGUGUCCUGAAAAUGCUAUGUGUAUGAGUGAGAAUUGAGUUAUUUUGAAGUGGUUUUUGAGUAUUUCCUUAUGAAAGUCAAAUAAGGGAAAUAAUUCAGUAAUAAAAAAAUUUAUUUCCAUGCUUAAAAAAAAAAAUAACCUACAAUGACCUCUAAGUGUUCAAGUGAAAGGAAGAGUCCCAUGUCUUUCACUUUAAAUCAAAGGCUAGAAAUGAUUAAGCUUAGUAAGGAAGGCAUGAUAGGAUGAAAGCCAGACAUCUUGUACGAGUUAGCCAGGUUGUGAAUGCAAAGGAAAAGCUCUUGAAGGAAAUGAAAAGUGCUACUCCAGUGAAUACAUAAAUGAUAAUAAAGCAAAACAGCCUUACUGCUGAUACUGAGAAAGUUUCAUUUACCAUUCUCAAAAUCCUAGAGCUGAGAAUUAUGAUCAGUUGCUACCACCUGUGCUCUACAACAAAGCCUGGAUAACAGCACAUCUCUUUACAGCCUCGCUCACUAAAUAUUUUAAGCCCAGUAUUGAGACCUACUGUUCAGAAAAAAAGAUUCUUUUCAAAAUAUCACUGCUCAUUGACAAUGUAGCUGGUCAACCAAGAGCUGUGAUAGAGAUGUACAAGGAGAUGAAUGCUGUGUUUUCAUGCCUGCUGACACAAUAUACAAUCUGCAGCCCAUGGAUCAAAGAGUCAUUUCAACUUUCAAGUCUUAUUUCUUAAGAAAUACAUUUCAUAAGGCUAUAGCUGCCAUAGAUAGUGAUUCCUCUCAUGGAACCAGGCAAAGUCAAUUGAAAACUUUCUGGAAAGGAUUAACCAUUCCAGAUGCCAAUUUGUGAUUCAUGGAAGGAGGUCAAAAUGUCAACAUUUUAACAGGAGUUUGGAAGAAGUUGAUUCCAACCCUUGUGGAUGACUUUGAGAGGUUCAGGACUUCAGUGGAGGAAGUCACUGCAGAUGGGGUGGAAAUAGCAAGAGAACUAGAAUUAGAAGCAGAGCCUAAAGGUGUGACAGAAUUAUUGCAAAUUCAUGACAAAACUUUAACAGGAUGAGGAGUUGCUUCUUAUGGAUGAACAAAGAAAGUGGUUUCUUGAGAUGGAAUCUACUGUUGAAGAUACCGUAAGCAUUGUUGAAAUGGCAACAAAGGAUUAGAAUAUUACAUAUACUUAGUUACUUAGCUGAUAAAGUAGUGGCAGGAUCUAAGAGGGUUGAAUGUCUUUUUUUUUUUUUUUUUUGAGACGGAGUUUCACUCCUGUUGCCCAGACUGGAGUGCAAUGGUGUGAUCUCUGCUCACCGCAACCUCCGCCUCCCAGGUUCACAUGAUUCUCCUGCCUCAGUCUCCCGAGUAGCGGGGAUUACAGGCAUGUGCCACCAUACCCAGCUAAUUUUGUAUUUUUAGUAGAGACAGGGUUUCUCCAUGUUGGUCAGGCUGGUCUUGAACUCCCAACCUCAGGUGAUCCGCCCACCUCGGCCUCCCAAAAUGCUGGGAUUGCAGGUGUGAGCCACCACACCUGGCCGUUGAUGUCUUAUUUUAAGAAAUUGCCACAGCCAUCAUCAGUCAGCAGCCAUCAACUCAAAGCAAGGUCCUCUACCAGCAAAAAUACUGCUACUUGCUGAAGGGUCAGAUGAUUAUUAGCAUUUUGUUUUAAUAAAGCAUUUUUAAAUUAAGAUACGUAUGUUGUUUUUCUUUAGACAUAAUGCUAUUGCACACUUAAUAGACUAUGGUAUAGUGUAAACAUAACUUUCAUAUGCACUCGUUAACAAAAAAAUUCAUGUGACUUGCUUUAUUUGUUUUAUGGCAGUGGUCUGGAGCCACACUGUAAUAUUUUCAAGGUUUGCCUGUACAUCAGACUAUUUGAUCUUGCUCCACAGUUCUUGGAUGCUCUGUCCUGUUUCCCCACCACUACUCUCUUUUGCUUUGUCUGUUUAGAUACUUGCUAUUGACCUCUUUUCAAGUUCAUGAAUUCUUCAGCUGUAUCAAGUUUGAAGAAAUCCGCUAUCUCUGAUAUUGUAGACUUUUUUUUUUUUUUUGACACAGAGUCUUGCUCUGUUGCCCAGGCAGGAGUGCAGUGGCACGAUCUCAGCUCACUGCAACCUCUGCCUCCCGAGUUCAAGCAAUUCUCAUGCCUCAGCCUCCCGAGUAGCUGGGAUUAUAGGUAUGUGCUACCACGCCUGGCUAAUUUUUUGUAUUUCUAGUAGAGCUGGGGUUUCCCCAUGUUAGACAGGCUGGUCUCAAACUCCUGGUCUCAAGUGAUCUACCUGCCUCGGCCUCCCAAAGUGCUGGGCUUACAGGUGUGAACCACAGUGCCUGGCCAAGCUUUUUAUGUGUAUAUAUCUGGUGUUUCCAUUUUGCCCUUUUUUACCCACUUCUCUGCUGAAAUUCACUAUCUGUUUGUUAUUUCCCACCUUUUCCACCAGAUAUGUUAAUAUAUUAACUGAUUGUCUUAAGGUCUGCUAGUCCCAACCUCUGUUUCAUUUCUGAAUUGGAUUUUGUUGGUUUUUGAUUGAAUGCCAGACUCAUGUGUAUAACAGAAGGAAUAAGGUAGAUUGUGUUACACCUGGAAAUGCACACACUUCUGUCAAACUGAUAUAGUUUGGAUGUCUGUCCCUUCCAAAUCUCAUGUUGAAAUGUGAUUCUCAAUGUUGGAAGCAGGGCCUGGUAAGAGGUGUUUGGGUCAUGGGAGGGAUCCCUCAUGAGCAGAUUAGUGCCCUCUUUGGGGUAAUGAGUUCUUCAUUAGUUCACGUGAAAGCUGGUUUUUUAAAAAGAGCUUGGGCCAGGCACGGUGGCUCAUGCCUAUAAUCCCAGCACUUUGGGAGGCCGAGGUGGGUGGAUCACUUGAGGUUAGGCAUUCGAGACCAGCCUGGCCAACAUGGUGAAACCCCAUCUCUACUAAAAAUACAAAAAUUAGCUGGGCUUGGUGGCGCAUGCCUGUAAUCCCAGCUACUCAGGAGGCUGAGGCAGGAGAAUCGUUUGAACCCAGGAGGCAGAGGCUGCAGUGAGCUGAGAUGGUGCCACUGCACUCCAGCCUGGGCGACAGGCUGAGAUGCUAUCUCAGUAAAUAAAUAAAUAAAUAAAAUAGAUAAAUAAAUAAAAAGAACUUGGCAUCUCUCUUGCUCCUGCUCUUGUCAUGUGACACAUCAGCUCCCCUUUCCUUCUGCCGCAAGUAAAAGCUUCCUGAGGCCUAACCAGAAGCAAAUGCUGGCACCAUGUUUCUUGUAUAAUCUGCAGAACCAUGAGCCAAAAUAAACCUCUUGUCUAUAAAUUAUCCAGCCUCAGGUAUUCCUUUGUAGCAAUGCAAAAUGGACUAACACAGAGACCAUUAGUUUGGAAAUUGUGUCAAUGUAGACACCAGUUUUUAGGGGUUUGGGUUGGAUUAAUGCUGUCACUAUCUUCAGUAUACUACAGGCUUCAAAUUCUUCCAGUGGUUGACUGCUGUUACCUUAUGCUUACAGUGCACCUGGAGUACAGGAGGACUUUUCUGAGUCCCACCCUCAAUUUUCAGGGAUCCCUGUAUGCCUACACCACAGAGAGGAUCUAUAUUUACACCCUUGCUGCUUCCUCAACAGACUGGUUUUCCUUGUUACUUAGUGCUAGGCUUAUAGCAGAGACAGGGGGUUUUUUGUCCUUGGCUAGCCUCGGUCUUAGGCAGGCUUUGUGUGCCUGGCCUUCAGGGAUGUGGCUUUCUCAACAUUCCUGCACCAUUUCUCAAUAGUAGUCAAAAUCUGUUUCAAAUCUAUUGUUGGUCUUGUGCAACAAUUUCAUGCUCAUUCCCCACUGGGAGCAGACCUCUUUAUGUUAUCCAUGUGGCUUCCUGGGCCCAGAUUUUCUGCCUAUCCUCCAAGGUCAAUUUUUGCUUCUACUCUUCCAGCAGUAAUAUUGUUUUCCUGUGUCCUGAAGGCAGAACAUUUCCUACCUCUCUCUCAAAAGCAGAUGGGUUUUGUCUACAUUCCUACCCCAGAGCAAUGAAUUUCUGCCUGGGCCCUAGGAAUGAUUGUUGUUCCUCCCUACAAUAGCCUAAGGCUUUUGCAUCAUUCAAGAGAAGAGCUUGAAAGCAGGCAGAAUUUCAUGGCAGCCAACUACCUUCUGUUUGCUUAAACCACCUACUGAGACUUUCUGGUUCCACACCCUGCUUCCAGUCUUUCUUAAGUCCUGGUGUAGGCCCUUGGGAAAGAACUUGUGAGUGUGUAUGAAGUUCCCUUAUUUCAGAUUCUUGGCUAUUCCAAACUGGUAUGCUAGCCCACAUGUACACUUUAGGAAUUUCUUAAAAUUUUUGCCAAUAUUUUACCUGUUUAUAUAAAGGCCAUCUCUUUCUCUUGGGUUCUUCCUAAGGUUAAACAGUCAGUAUGUCCCAUCUCUCCUUGUAGGGCUUAUCACUCUUUGGGAUUUGGUUUGUUUGCCUUGUAAUUUCAGUUCUUUGAUAUGUUCAAGAAAAAAAGCUUUAAUUUUAUAGAUGACCCAGCCUUUUCUCCUUGUUAAAAUGGGAAUGACAGUCUCUUGAGGUUUUCCACAUCUUCUUGAGAAGCAGAGCUCUGACUACCUCUACUAAAGUUAGUUGAUUUUCUGUUACUCUCUUGUCAGUAUCAUUUCCAUCACUGCACAUAUUAAAAUUAGUAAUUUUUUUACUUUGUCUCCUCCAUUAGACUUUAAUCCUAUAAAAACAUAUACUACAUCGCUUCAUUGUUGUAAUCUAUUAUACCUAGCACCAUAAUUGUACAUAUAGUACUCAAAACUAAUACAUACGACAGGUAUUCAUAUUUUCAAAAACCAAAAACAUUAACCCAACAUACAGAAAAUACUGUUAAAAAACAUCCAUGGAAAUAUUGAUGAACAGAGGGAGAGGAGAGGCAAGAGCCCAAAUGCAAACUGGGAAAUUGUAUUCUGAACCAUCAGUUAGGUUUUAAUUUAUAACCUGCCUGGAGACUGUCUACAGUGUUGACUGAGUUCAAAACAUAAAGCACAAAUAAGAAAAGUAUACCCCAAACCACACUUCUUUAAUUAAGCUCUAAGAAAAACUCAAAUAAAUGAAAUAGUAAAACUUUGAUCAGUAAUUCCUUAUUGUUUAUUCUCCUCUUACAAAAAGACACUUGGGACAAAUAAAUACAAAAUGGCAUAUAUCAUAUUUAGCAAUGGGCAAAUACACAUUUUCUUGGUAUUCUCCACAAGAAUAAACUAAUAAAAUUUUCAGAGGCAUACUCUUCUACCCAUCUCUUACCCUCUAAAAAAAAAAAAGGCAAUUAUUUUAAUUCCCUGUAAUUUUUAACAAUGAAUUCUCAAAAUAAGUAAUCUAGGACUAUUCAGGGACCAAGACAUCUGAAUCAACAAGUUAAAAAAAAAAUGUCUGUAUACACACACACACACACACACACACACACACACACACGAUGUUGCC